AUUGAACGCUGGCGGCAUGCCUUACACAUGCAAGUCGAACGGCAGUACGGGUGCUUGCACCUGGUGGCGAGUGGCGAACGGGUGAGUAAUAUAUCGGAACGUACCUUAUUGUGGGGGAUAACGCAGCGAAAGCUGUGCUAAUACCGCAUAAUCCCUAAGGGGGAAAGCGGGGGACCGUAAGGCCUCGCGCAAUUAGAGCGGCCGAUACCUGAUUAGCUAGUUGGUGAGGUAAAGGCUCACCAAGGCAACGAUCAGUAGCUGGUCUGAGAGGACGAUCAGCCACACUGGGACUGAGACACGGCCCAGACUCCUACGGGAGGCAGCAGUGGGGAAUGUUGGACAAUGGGGGCAACCCUGAUCCAGCAAUGCCGCGUGAGUGAAGAAGGCCUUCGGGUUGUAAAGCUCUUUUGUCGGGGAAGAAACAGCAGCUCUAACACAGUUUGCGAAUGACGGUACCUGAAGAAUAAGCACCGGCUAACUACGUGCCAGCAGCCGCCGUAA
rnacentral:rRNA from 1 species